UUAAUUGUGCGUUUUAUGUUUAGAAUUAGUGUUUAUGCACUCGAAAAGACAUAAGUGCAGCCUCUUUAAAGUAAACUUUAUUUAAAUCUAAAAACAAUAAUGAUAUUUAAUUUGGAUUGUGUAAUCGUGUGUAUAACAAUGGACAAACAAACUGUUGUGAUUUGUAGGGGAAAUCCCCCCCUUUCAGCUUGCACUCCCCUGCAUUCCAUGGAUCUAAUUUUCAACAGCAGGGGGCGCUAAAAGAACACUAAAUCAGAAAGACAUGUUUAUUAUACUGUAUGUAAACAUGUUUCUGCUGCUGAGGGAUUGUGGUGUUUUCAUUCCAGGUAUUGUUAAAAAAAAAGAAACACAAACAAAUGAGUGACAUUUUGUUAUCUUCAUCAUCAAAGAACAUUGUGACGCUAAAAAAACUUUGCUCUGCUUCACAUGGUGAUUGGAAUCUGCAGCAUGGUUUCUUUCUCUGGUACUAAAAUCACUUCCUGACUAUUUUUAGGCCUGCUAAACAUGUGGCGCUCACUAAAUAAAACCCAAAACAAAGCCUGACUCCAAAGAAUAAGAUGAAAACUUAGUAGAUUUGUUGUAAAAUGUAUUUAUGUGAAGAAUGACAUGAAUAAGAUAUUCUUUAGUCAUAGAUAGGUGGACCUUUUUAUGGUUAAUUUUAUGAUGUUUACUGAUAUUGUUAAMGUUUGCUUUAUCGUUUUUAGCUUUGGACAAAACAUUCUUAGAUUCUUUGAUUUCAAUGAGUUUUUUCUGCUAAAAAAAGGGAAAUAAAAUGUGAAACACUGCAGAGACAGGAAGUAUGCAUGUUGAGCAAACAUCUUACGGAAAGAUUAUUUUUAAUCAGUCUGAACCAUUUAUCAGCACUUGUGAAAUGUGCACCAGUAAGUUAUUUUUUUAUUAUUAUUUUUAUCUUCACUUUCAUUUUCACACAAGGAAAGAACCAUGGCAGUUUGUUCAAACCUGCCAGGCUCUUUCUGCCGGGUAAAGGCGUGGCUGUUURUUCGCUUUGUGGUGCCAGCACUUCAACUCGAGACAACAAAUCAUAAAAAGAGAGAUUAGGGCAGUGCAGAUUAAAAGAGGGAGAUAACUGGGGAAGAAGRUCGUAGUAAACAUUCCCUGCAGAAAUCCCCUCUAGUAACCUGAAAGGCCUGACAUUAUUUGCAGCUGCUCAGUGAAAGUUUGUUGACAUACAGGUGUGUGCCAGGUGCCACCAUUUUAUUUUUGGUUUAUGAAACUUUUACACAACUAACACUUCCUUAGCAUUAUGAAUGAAGAUAUAUUUAAAAUAUGUCUUUUUUAUGUUUCAUCAACCAGAUUCCUUCCUCGAUGACUUUUUUUAAACUUCUGGAGGAUGUGCUUAGGCCUCAAUGCUACUUCCAGUGAGCAGAAAAAGAGAAGUGUUUCAUUCAAAUGAAGGGGGGGUCCCUAACGCGAUUUGUGGUCGGGAUGAACACCAACAGUUCCCCCACGAGGUGGAAGCCGGAGAAGCUUUACGCUGCAUAAAUCAAAACAAAGAACUUGAUUUUGACCUUUGACUUUUUUGUUUGUUUUGUGGAUUUAUCAAUAAACAAGAAGCUGCACCGUUUCUGCUGGUUGCUGAAAGAGGAAACGGUGCCUCUUUUGUAUCAAGCAGCAAAACCAACUUUUUUUUCCCUUUUUUUGGUUUUAUUCUGUUUUAGUGAUGGAGACUGAAAUGUCUCACCUUAGACAUCCCCUCUGCAUCAUCAGUCUCAUGACACAYAAUCCACACCUGCAGGAGUCUGAUUCUGAAAGUUUCAGAAAACACGCCAAUUACUGAAUUGUCUGAAUUUGCUAGAACUUGAUGAGGGUUUUUCUUUUUGAUUUCUCUCUUUCUCUCUUUAUAGAAGGAAGUAAAAAUAUAUCCGCUGUGAAAACGCAACGUUCCUUUAAAUCAGAAAAAAAAAUCAGGCAUGAUUUGAAAACCAAAAUGUUAUGAAAUGUUAGAUUUGUCCUAGAAUGUACAUUAAAAAAUCUUUGUUUUAAUCAUUGCAGAGUUGUGACAAAACUCACCAAAGCUUAAAAACACUUUACGAUUAGAAAUAUUGAAACAUAUUCAGAGUUCAUUGCAUUGUAAGUUUUACUAUUGUUCUUUUUGUGGAGGUUUUUUGAUAGGCCUGCUAUAUAUUAUCUUCUAACAAGACCACAACAUUGUUAUAUUUUAUGUACAAAGCAAUAAACUCCCCUCUUAUUUGCAUAUUUGAAAAAAA